UACGGAGGAUCCGAGCGUUAUCCGGAUUUAUUGGGUUUAAAGGGUGCGUAGGCGGCCUAUUAAGUCAGGGGUGAAAGACGGUAGCUUAACUAUCGCAGUGCCUUUGAUACUGAUAGGCUUGAAUGUACUUGAGGUAGGCGGAAUGUGACAAGUAGCGGUGAAAUGCAUAGAUAUGUCACAGAACACCAAUUGCGAAGGCAGCUUACUACACAACGAUUGACGCUGAGGCACGAAAGCGUGGGGAUCAAACAGG
rnacentral:rRNA from 1 species